AACAAACGCUGGCGGCGUGCCUAACACAUGCAAGUCGUACGAGAAAGGGUCCUUCGGGGCCUGAGUAAAGUGGCGCACGGGUGAGUAACGCGUGGAUAAUCUGCCCUUCAGUUGGGAAUAACUCAUCGAAAGGUGGGCUAAUACCGAAUAAUGCUGUGAGACCUCGGUUGAUCAGCCAAAGAGAGCCUCUGCCUGCAAGCCCUCGCUGAAGGAUGAGUCCGCGUACCAUUAGCUAGUUGGUAGGGUAAUGGCCUACCAAGGCGACGAUGGUUAGCUGGUCUGAGAGGAUGAUCAGCCACACUGGAACUGAGACACGGUCCAGACUCCUACGGGAGGCAGCAGUGAGGAAUCUUGCGCAAUGGGGGCAACCCUGACGCAGCAACGCCGCGUGAGUGAGGAAGGUCUUCGGAUCGUAAAGCUCUGUCGGAUGGAAAGAACCGCAUAGGGGUAAACAGCCCCUGUGUCUGACGGUACCAUCAAAGGAAGCACCGGCUAACUCCGCGCCAGCCGCCGCCGUAAGAC
rnacentral:rRNA from 1 species